GCCCGUGUAGCUCAGUGGAACGAGCGUCCCGUUCACACCGGGAAGGCCCCUGGUUCGAGUCCAGGUGCGGGCA
rnacentral:tRNA from 1 species